rnacentral:rRNA from 1 species
GACGAACGCUGGCGGCGUGCUUAACACAUGCAAGUCGAACGCUGAAGCUCAGCUUUUGUUGGGUGGAUGAGUGGCGAACGGGUGAGUAACACGUGAGUAACCUGCCCCCUUCUUUGGGAUAACGCCCGGAAACGGGUGCUAAUACUGGAUAUUCACUGGUCUUCGCAUGGGGGUUGGUGGAAAGGGUUUUUCUGGUGGGGGAUGGGCUCGCGGCCUAUCAGCUUGUUGGUGGGGUGAUGGCCUACCAAGGCUUUGACGGGCAGCCGGCCUGAGAGGGUGACCGGUCACAUUGGGACUGAGAUACGGCCCAGACUCCUACGGGAGGCAGCAGUGGGGAAUAUUGCACAAUGGGCGCAAGCCUGAUGCAGCGACGCCGCGUGAGGGAUGGAGGCCUUCGGGUUGUGAACCUCUUUCGCUCAUGGUCAAGCCGCAACAAUGGUUGUGGUGAGGGUAGUGGGUAAAGAAGCGCCGGCUAACUACGUG